rnacentral:rRNA from 1 species
UACAGAGGGUGCGAGCGUUGUCCGGAAUCACUGGGCGUAAAGGGCGCGUAGGCGGCUUGGUAAGCGUGUGGUGAAAGUCCGGGGCUCAACCCCGGAUCUGCCGUGGGAACUGCUGAGCUCGAGCAAUGUAGAGGCGGGUGGAAUUUCCGGUGUAGCGGUGGAAUGCGUAGAUAUCCGAAGGAACACCAGUGGCGAAGGCGGCCUGCUGGGCAUUUGCUGACACUGAGGCGCGACAGCGUGGGGAGCAAACAGG